rnacentral:rRNA from 1 species
GACAGAGGGUGCAAACGUUGUUCGGAAUUACUGGGCGUAAAGCGCACGUAGGCGGCUUUGUAAGUUAGAGGUGAAAGCCCAGGGCUUAACCCUGGAAUUGCCUUUAAGACUGCAUCGCUAGAGUUGUGGAGAGGUAAGUGGAAUUCCGAGUGUAGAGGUGAAAUUCGUAGAUAUUCGGAAGAACACCAGUGGCGAAGGCGACUUACUGGACACAUAUUGACGCUGAGGUGCGAAAGCGUGGGGAGCAAACAGG